CCUACGGGGGACAGCAGUAGGGAAUCUUCCACAAUGGGCGAAAGCCUGAUGGAGCAACGCCGCGUGGGUGAAGAAGGUCUUCGGAUCGUAAAACCCUGUUGUUAGAGAAGAAAGUGCGUGAGAGUAACUGUUCACGUUUCGACGGUAUCUAACCAGAAAGCCACGGCUAACUACGUGCCAGCAGCCGCGGUAAUACGUAGGUGGCAAGCGUUAUCCGGAUUUAUUGGGCGUAAAGGGAACGCAGGCGGUCUUUUAAGUCUGAUGUGAAAGCCUUCGGCUUAACCGGAGUAGUGCAUUGGAAACUGGGAGACUGGAGUGCAGAAGAGGAGAGUGGAACUCCAUGUGUAGCGGUGAAAUGCGUAGAUAUAUGGAAGAACACCAGUGGCGAAAGCGGCUCUCUGGUCUGUAACUGACGCUGAGGUUCGAAAGCGUGGGUAGCAAACAGGAUUAGAUACCCCUGUAGUC
rnacentral:rRNA from 1 species